rnacentral:rRNA from 1 species
UACGAAGGGGGGCUAGCGUUGCUCGGAUUGACUGGGCGUAAAGGGCGCGUAGGCGGUCUGUACAGUCAGGCGUGAAAUUCCUGGGCUCAACCUGGGGGCUGCGUUUGAUACGUGCAGACUAGAGUGCGGAAGAGGGUCGUGGAAUUCCCAGUGUAGAGGUGAAAUUCGUAGAUAUUGGGAAGAACGCCGGUGGCGAAGGCGGCGACCUGGUCCGAUACUGACGCUGAGGCGCGAAAGCGUGGGGGAGCAAACAGGG